rnacentral:lncRNA from 1 species
ACAGUAGGCGUUAUAGUCGGCCACUGUUGUUCCCCUAGCGCGUCAUGUUCGUACUGCACCUUCGCCUCACUUCUAAAGGAAGCACUGCCCCUCAGCAAAUCCCAAUGUAUCGAGCGGAUUCUACCACAGGAAAUUCGGUCACUUCAAGUCUCGGACAUACCCAGGGAUUAUAUAUAAAGUAAAUUAGUUGUUCCGUGCUUUCCAUCAGAAUUCAACGAUUCGGUAAAGAAUGAACCCUGCUGGUGUAAAGCCCCCAGGCACACAUCCAGGAUUGAGAGCUCACAGAUUACUCUCAUUGUUCAUCUGCUGAGUAAGCUCCGUCCGAUAAGACUCUAAAAACGUCUGCCUGCCCUUCAUCCUGUCAACAUCAAAAAAAGCCCUCAGCCAUUUGCUGGGGCAAAACAGCGUCGCCAUGGAUACAGAGUCCACCUACUCUGGCUACUCAUACUACUCCGGACGGUCGAGGGGAUCUCACAGACAUGGAGAGCGUAGCCGGGACCGCCACAAAUCCCGCAGUAAGGAGAGCAGUCGCUCGGAGAAGUCUGUCACUAUCAACGCUCCCCCAGCAGAGCCAUUGUUAGGAGACCAGUCAGUGCGAGGAGAAGAGGUUCAGGUGAGAGAGGUUUUCUGUUAUUUAUAGGACUAUAUGGUGUGAA